rnacentral:rRNA from 1 species
UACGUAGGUGGCAAGCGUUGUCCGGAUUUACUGGGCGUAAAGAGCGCGCAGGCGGUCGUUCAAGUCGCGUGUGAAAGCCCCCCGGCUCAACUGGGGAGGGUCACGCGAUACUGAUCGACUCGAAGGCAGGAGAGGGUAGUGGAAUUCCCGGUGUAGUGGUGAAAUGCGUAGAUAUCGGGAGGAACACCGGUGGCGAAGGCGGAUCUCUGGGCCAUUACUGACGCUGAGGAGCGAAAGCGUGGGGAGCGAACAGG